rnacentral:rRNA from 1 species
UUGAACGCUGGCGGCAUGCUUUACACAUGCAAGUCGAACGGCAGCGCGGGGCAACCUGGCGGCGAGUGGCGAACGGGUGAGUAAUAUAUCGGAACGUACCCAGAAGUGGGGGAUAACGUAGCGAAAGUUACGCUAAUACCGCAUACGAUCUACGGAUGAAAGUAGGGGACCGCAAGGCCUUAUGCUUUUGGAGCGGCCGAUAUCUGAUUAGCUAGUUGGUGAGGUAAAGGCUCACCAAGGCGACGAUCAGUAGCUGGUCUGAGAGGACGACCAGCCACACUGGAAAUGAGACAGGGCCCAGACCCCAAGGGGGGGCAGCAGGGGGGAUUUUUGAAAAAGGGGCACAAGCCUGACCAAGAAAGGCCGGGGGAGUGAAGAAGCCCUUGGGGUUGAAAAGCUUUUUUGUAAGGAAAGAAAGGGUAGAGGUAAAUAUCUUUGGCUAAGGAGGGUCCCUAAAAAAAAAGCCCGGGCAAACUCCGUG